rnacentral:rRNA from 1 species
UACGUAGGGUGCAAGCGUUAAUCGGAAUUACUGGGCGUAAAGCGUGCGCAGGCGGCUUUGCAAGACAGAUGUGAAAUCCCCGGGCUUAACCUGGGAACUGCAUUUGUGACUGCAUGGCUGGAGUGCGGCAGAGGGGGAUGGAAUUCCGCGUGUAGCAGUGAAAUGCGUAGAUAUGCGGAGGAACACCGAUGGCGAAGGCAAUCCCCUGGGCCUGCACUGACGCUCAUGCACGAAAGCGUGGGGAGCAAACA